AUAUGAAAUUAUAACAUUAAUUCCCACCUAUGUUAAUUUUGCCAUUGACUUAUGAACUAAUUUUCAAAUUUAUUUUGAAAUUAAUCAUACCUUCUAGUUCAAGGACCUUCAUGGAUUCUGAAUGUAAAAGAAUCCCAAUGAUUUUAUCUCUUCAGAAAACAUAAAUAUAAAUUGUAUUCAAAUAUGCAUAUUACACAAAGAUGCAUUACACAUAUUGCAAGAGACAUUCACACAUAUUUUUGGUUGGUGAUUUAGCCUGAAUUUGCUAACAAUGGCAUGGUGUCUACUUUGAUUUUGUUUAGCUGGAAUAAUCAAGUAUUAGUCCAUUCUUUCACUGCUAUUAAAUACCUGAGACUGGGUAGUUUAUAGGGAAAAGAAGAUUAAUUGGCUGAAGGUUCUGCAGACUGUAUGAGAAGCAUAGUGGCUUCUGAGAAAACCUCAGGAAAGUUAGAAUCAUGGUGGUGUAGGAGGACUAGCCACAGACAAAACCACUCAGACACCGGGUUAAGAAGGAAGUGGCUUUAUUUGGCCAGGAGCAUCAGCAGACUUGCAUGUCAAGAACUGAGCUCUCUGAAGAAAGAGUUCCUGGCCCUUUUAAGAACUUACAACUCUAAGGGGUUCACGUGAAAGGGUUGUGAUAGAUUGACAUUCAGAGAUAGCAUAUGUGAUUAGAGGGGGGCUAAUCUUUAACCUCUCUCUUCAUUCCCCCAUUUGAGAACCUUACUCACUAGUGGGAGGUCUCACUCUCAUCUUCACUACCCAGGUCUUUCUGCAAGACAGAUCGACAGUGAUUCAUGUAAUACACUUGUGUAUUACAAGACAUUCAUGUAAUACAUUUGUGCUGAAGUUUUCUGAUGAACCAAGGUAGUAACAAAACUUCUUAGAAGUUGGAGAAAUAUGGGUAACAAACAAAGGAGCAAUAGGAGGGUUGCAGCUGGAGAUCUGGGGAGGAGCUGGUGUUUUUUAGUUUGAGGGUCAUGCAACUGAAGACCCGGGGAGGAGCUGAUGUUGUUCUAGUUUGAGGUUCAUGCAGCUGGAGACCUGGGGAGCAGCGGGUGUUUUUUAGUUUGAGGGUCAUGCAGCUGUAGAACCCGGGAGGAGCUGGCGUUUUUCUAAUAUGAGUAUCCUGCAGCUGGAGACCAGGAGAGUUGCUGAUGUUCUAGUCUGAAGGUCGUGCAGCUGAAGACGGGGGAGGGUUCUAGUUUGAGUGCCCUGCAGCUGAAGACUCGGGAAGGAGCUGAUGUUGUCCUUGUUUUACGAUCUUUCAGCUGGAGACUCAAAGAGGAGCUGAUGUUGUUCUAAUUUGAGUGUAAUGGAGCUGGAGACCCGGGGUGGAGCUGAUGUUGUUCUAGUUUGAGUGUUGUGCAGCUGGAGAUCCAAGAAGGAGGUGGUCUUGUGGUUCAAAUCUGAGGGUCCUGGAGCUGGAAUCUAUGGGAGGAGUCAAUGCUGCCACUGAUGUCUUAGAUUGUGCAGCAGAAGACCCACAGAGGAGCCGGUGUUGGUGUUCUAGUGUGAGGGUGUGGAUCUGGAGAUCCAUGGGGGAGUGACGUUCUUCUAGUUUUUGGGUUGUGGUGCUGGAGACCCAGGGAGGAGCUCAUGGUGUUCUAGUUGAGGGUCGUGGUGCUGGAGACCCAGGGAGGAGUCGAUCCUUCUGUUGUUUAAGUCUGAAGGUCAUCGAGCUGGAGAUCCGGGGAAGAGCUGGUGCUGCGGUUCAAGUCUGAGGGUCCUGGAGCUUGAGACCCCAGGAGGAGAUGGUGCUGCCACGAAUGUCUUAGGUUGUAAAGCUGGAGACCUGCGAAGGAGCCGGUGUUGCUGUUUUAGUGUGAGGUUUGUGGAGCUGGAGUCCCAGGGGGAAAAUGGUGUUUUUCUGGCUUAAGGGUCAUGCAGCUGACCCUCAGAUGACCUCAAACUAUAACAACACUGCUCCACCCUGGAUCUCCAGCUCCAAAAUCCUCACAAUAGAAAAACAUCUGCUCCUCCCUGAGUGUCCAGCUCCACGAUGCUCAAACUAGAUUAAAAUCAGCUCCUUCCCAGGUGUCCAGCUGCAUGACCCUCAAACUAGAAACACCCGGGGAGGUUUUAUUAGUUUGCUGCUGUUUUUCUAGAUUGAGGGUCAUGCAGCUGGAGACGUGGGGAGGAGCUGAUGUUGUUCGAGUUUGAGGGUCAUGGAGCUUGGAGACCCAGGCAGGAGCUGGUGUUUUUCUAGUUUGAGGGUUGUGCAGCUGGAGACCCAGGGAGAAGCUGAUGUUGCUCUUAUUUGAGAGCUGUGGAGCUGGAGACCUGGAGAGGAGCUGAUGGUGUUCUAGUUUGAUGGUUGCAGAGCUGGAGACCCAGGGAGGAGCUGUUGUUUUUCUAGUUUGAGUUUCGUGCAGCUGAAGACCAUUGGAGGAGCUGAUGUUCUAGUUUGAGGGUUGUGCAGCUGGAGAUACAGGGAGAAGGUGGUCUUGCAGUUUAAAUGUGAGGGUCUUGGAGCUGGAAUCCAUGGGAGGAGCCAAUGCUGCCACUGAUGUCUUAGGUUGUGGAGCUGAAGACCCGCAGAGGAGCCAGUGUUGGUGUUCCAGUGUGAGGUUCGUGGAUCUGGAGACCCACGGAGGAGCAGGUGUUGGUGUUCUAGUGUGAGGGUCAUGGAUCUGGAGAUCCAUGGGGGAGUGGUGUUCUUCUAGUUUGUGGGUUGUGGUGCUGGAGACCCAGGGAGGAGCUGAUUCUUUUGUUGUUUAAGUCUGAAGGUCGUCAAGCUGGAGAUCCGGGGAAGAGCUGGUGCUGCGAUUCAAGUCUGAGGGUCCUGGAGCUUGAGACCCCAGGAGGAGAUGGUGCUGCCACUAAUGUCUUAGAUUGUAAAGCUGGAGAUCUGUGGAGGAGCUGGUGUUUCUGUUCUAGUGUAAGGUUUGUGGAUCUGGAGUCCCAGGGGUGAGCAGUGUUGUUUUAGUUUGAGGGUCAUGGAGUUAGAGACCCGGGGAGGAGCUGAUGUUGUAGUUUGAGGGUCGUGCAGCUGGAGACCCAGGGAGGAGCUGGUGUGUUUCUAGUUGGAGGGUUGUGGAGCUGGAGAUUCAC
rnacentral:lncRNA from 1 species